UGAUGAUUAUAAACCAAUCCUAAAAAGCCCAAGUCGGUUUCAACUAAGGCCCAUAUGAUUUAAACUACUAACAUUGGUGAGCCGUGCUCGAACCGAGCUUUGCCUCGUUAAGCGAGGUAUUGAAGCGAGCUCGAGCCGAGAUUUUGGCUCGUUGGAGAUUGUCCUCAAAAUAGCUCAACCGCGCUCGAGCUUUGGGAUUUACUCGCGAGCCGAGCUCAAAUAAGUAGACUCGAACCGAACUGAGCGCGAGCUCGAGCUUCAUAAAAACAUGAAGAGCCGAGCUCGAGCCUAGUCGGACUCGGGCUCGGCCCAGCUCGUAAACACCCCUAGAAGAAAACAUACCUUGAGAUUAAGAUUUGAUACAAAGGCAGUGCAUUGGUCAGUGUACUGCUUGAAUUUCUCGGGUGUCGGGUCUUUUGCUUUCAGGCCGCCGUCUUCUCCAUGAGGCGUGGGGUCUUUUGCUUUCAGGCUGCCGUCUUCUGCAUGAGGCGUGGGGUCUGUUGAAUUAUCCGCUUUAUUUGCUUUAGCGGAACCCUUAUUCUGAGCUUUAACCUUUUGCCGCUUAGCUGGUGACUCUUCAUUAGGUGCAGCAUCUGAAGACGGCUUUCUCUUUUCACCUUUAACUUUCUUAACAGGAUCGUCUUUAUGAUCUGUUGAUGAAGUAACAUUUUUGCUCUCUUGUUGUAACCUAAAUAACUGUAGCUCCUGCAGCCGAGGACUCACCUGAAAUAAUAAAACUAUCGCAUCGCAUUCACACACACCAGAGGUCCAUCUAAUAUUAUCGUUGCGUAUACUAUCGAAAGUACCUUCUGUAACGCAUGAUCAAAAUCUUCUAGCGUACCAAAUUCCCUCUCGAAGCGUAUCCACGAGUUGCAUACGUCCUCAGAGCCUGUCCCAGCAAACCUUUUACUGUAGCAUCGUUUAUAUAAAGAUCUAGCUUCAUUUAUGUGGCCCAUCUCGGUUUCCAUUGAUAUAUAGCCUUGCCAAGCUUCUAACAUAGACCCGCUAUAUAUAAAAGGUUUUCAGAAAUAUCAUUAGCAUGGAACAGAAAAACCGGAAAAACUUCUUAUAUAAAAUAAAAGAGUAAAAUGCCAUUUUUGUCCCUGAGGUUUGGCCAGAUUUGCGACUUUCGUCCAAAGGUUUGUUUUUCCGCAUCUGGAUCCAAAAGGUUUAAAAUCUUGCCAUUUUCAUCCGGCUCAUUAACUCCAUCCAUUUUUCUCCGUUAAGUCAGGGGUAUUUUCAUUUUUUUGUUAACUUAAGGCGAUUCGGUCUCUUUCACUUUAUCACUUUAUGUACAAGCAUUUAGCAUAAUGUGAAAAAGACCGAAUUGCCCUUUAAGUUAACAAAAAAUAUGGAAAUACCCCUGCCUUGAUGGAGAAAAGUGGAUGGAAUUAACGAGCCAGAUGAAAAUGGCAAGAUUUCAAAUCUUUCGGAUUCAGAUGCGCAAAAAUAAACCUUCGGACGAAAGUCGCAAAACUGGUCAAACUUCAGAGACGAAAAUGACAUUUUACUCUAAAUAAAAUAAAAACUUUAAACCUGUUCUUAAGCAAGCUUUCCCAUACUCCACGAGCCGCAGUUAUAUCUUUUCCAAUAUUAGACUCCAAACGGGCCCAAUAGCUAUGUAUUUGCAACAAACUGGAUGUGUUCUUUAACUGCGGUGACAAAUAAUCACACGCCCUCUGGAAUAGAUCAUAAACCAUCAUAUGUUUAGGGUCGGUAAAUAACCAUAAGUUGAUACUACUCUGAGCAUUAAUAUGAUAUAAAGCAAACCUGAAAGGUAUUCCUUAUCGUCGAAAAAUCUAAGCCAUCAUCGAGAUCUUUAGCAAACGAGAUUCUCCUCCUCAGGCCAUCAACUCUGGUGAGAAAUAUAUCUACAUACUGAAAUCAAGAUGCAUUUGUUAAAUUAACAGCAUUCAUAAUAACAUUUAAACUUGGUUUUAAAAAGCGCGCCUAGGCGCAGGGCCUGGGGCUUUUUUGCUUCUCGCCUUAUGUAAUUACAGGAAGUGACCGAAAGGCACAUUUUUUGAUGUUUUUUUGUGAGCUUUUUGGCCUGAGGCGCGCGCCUCAUGUAACUUAGGCGUUUCACUGCAUAAAAAUGUUGUACCUUGGGUUUUUUGACUUGUACAUGUAAUUUAAAUGGUAUAAAAGCCUUACUUAUAGCUAUAUUUUGGUUAAAGGAAAGCUAAAAACCUAUGGGAUAUGUAUGGGAUAUAUAAAAAAAAUUAUAUAAACAUCUUGCGCCUCGGGUACGAAAAGCCCACCGCUUUUGCGCCUCAAUUUUAGACCUCGUUGCUUUUGUGCGCCUCUCGCUUUUUAAAACCAAGCAUUUAAAGUGUUGAUAAAGUAUUAAAACAAAGGGAGAUGUAUGGAUAUACCUCAUCUAUGAAAAAAACCUUGGGAGGAACGUCGCAAAACUGGCCAAACCUCAGGGACGAAAAUGGCAUUUUACUCUUGAGAAAAAUCAUAAACACCUUUUGAAAAUAGUUGGCACUUCAUUCUCAAAAAAUGGAACAGCAAAAAAAGAAAACUUACGUCAGAAAGAUCUUUCUCAGAACCACGACUUCGUUCAAGGUAUAGCAUGAAGCGAACCCAUAGUUCUCCAACCCAGGGACAGUUCCUUGUAGAGCGGUUAUAUAUAUCCCGCAAAGUUUUGUCAGCCUGGUAUUCGAAAGAUAUCAACGUUUAGACGGUUAAACUCAAAGCACAAAAGAACAAAAAUGUUACUAAUUACUAAAACCUUUAGCGUUUUGUUGAGGUAGUUGGUGUAAUCAAUCCAGAGAUCACCAGAUAUCGGAAAUUCAGUUAUUGCUCGUUCAUACAAGCUCUUAACUCGAGCAGGAUCUCCAGAGGACUGUUCAAAUUUCAAAUAAGCCUACACAAACAAUAGUUCAAUACAUGUAUCAUUAAUCAUAAAACAGUAUGCAGGGGGGGCACUGGUUGCAUCAUAGAACAGUAGUCACUCAAGCUCACCAUAAAACUUUGAAGCCGUUCUGUAUCGGACACAUCACUUCCUGCUAUUUUUUCUUCAAAAUCAGCGCGUACACUCAACAUGUCUAGAGCCUUCUGAUAAGCAGAAGCGACAUGAGGUGAAAUUCCAUCUGUACUGCUACUAUUGACAUCGAGCGUAUUUCCGUGUUCGGACUCCCAUGCCUUAUAGGUCAAAAGAGUUGACGUCAUGUCCGAAUGAGGAAUAGACAAGUGGCGAUGAAAUAUGUUACGAAGUCUUUGAACCUGCUUUUCCCUUGACUGUAAACCAAAAUAGAAGUAACCUGAGAUUUAGAAAUAAAAUAUCGGCAGAGAAACCAUAGCAGUGUGUGUGUGUGUGUGUAUAGGUCAAUUAUAGGGAGAAAUCCCUUAUGAGUUCAAAAAACUCAUGAAACUCAAUGGACAGAGCAAAUCUUGCCACAUGUUACACCUUUUUUGCUGUUACAAGAUUCUGGCAUGUUACAUUAGAAUUUAUUAGUUUUUUUAAUUUGCAGUGCAUGUAAAAAAUAUGUUACAUUUUUAUAGAAAGAUUU
rnacentral:lncRNA from 1 species